rnacentral:lncRNA from 1 species
CUAGACCUAGCUAAGACAAAAAAAAUUCCUAGAACUCUAACAAAAAAUGACAGCGCUGGACUCCAUUCUCGUUCAGUCGUGGACUUGUUUCUCCAGCUCUCUCUUUCUCUGGCGAAAUCGUGUAAUUCCUGGCAGGUGAACACGUGAAAAACACAGCAAACCAAACGAGCAGCAUCUCCCUUCAAAGAAAAAUCUACAUCAACAUUACCUGUAAACUAAAGUCAUUAUACGAGAUUCCAAAUCUUUGCUACAAAAUAAUUUCUCUCAUUCAAAAUUUUCAGCAUUGCACUUGUAUAACGAAAGAAUCUUCAGUUGCUUAGUUUUCAAUCCAACUCCCCUACCUCAAUAAAUUCAUCUGACAUUUUCAAGGAUCUGAUCUGACCGAAAAUUUUAGUUUAUCGUUUGGUUGGGGUCGAUUUGGGUUUCGGGCAUGUCAGUGUCAAUUCAGGUUCCAGUUCACAAUUUUGGUGUUUCAAUCCAAGGAUUGUUGUUUUGUUUAGCCCGAUUGAUUUGAAAUCUUCGGAUUUAUUCAUCAAUAAAAGGUCCAUUUCUUUUUCAUUCUCAUUUUAUUUUGUUAUAAUAUCUUGGUGCGCGCGUUGGUUGGUUUGUGAUUCUCUGUUGUUUGAGUAGCAUGUCUUAGUUUUCAUUUAAAUUAUUUUAAUUAGUUUUUAUUUUGAUUGUGAUGUGUGCAGUCUUGGUUAUUGAAUAAAUGCUUUUAAUUGGGUAGAUGAAAAAAUAAGAGUUGUUUCUUUCUUGGCAAGGAAUAAGAAUGGACCAUAAGAUGAGUCUUGAACCACGAGAAAUCUGGGCCAAAGUAAUAGAUCAUGUUAGCUAGCCUAUUUGCUCCCCAAUAAUAUCUUGUCCAUAAAUUUGGCAUCACAACAAUCUUAAAGAUUAGGAAAAUAAUUUAAAUGCGCUAGUUUCUUUAGGCUCGAUUAAUAAUAAAUCAUCGUGACUAUGGGUACGGUUCCCGUGGCAUAGUCAUGAUACGUAACCCCAAAAUUCGAGUGCACGCUGGCGUGACUCGACCCACAACUUUAAAUAAUAUUAAAAUAAACAUGUUGUAGAUUGCGGGUAUGGUUCCCGUGGCAUGAUUCACAAUAUGUAUAAAAACAACGAGUGCACGACAUCAUGACUCGUUCAAAUAAAUUCCAUAAAUCCUAAAAGCGUUUAAAUAAAUAAAAGCAAUUUGAAAGUUAAAAAUGCACAAAAGGUUUAAACAUGUAAUUAAUAAGAUAAUUAGGACAAUUAUUAAUAGUUGAGUGACCAUGCUAAAAGCACGGAACCCGAGAAUGCCUAACACCUUCUCCUGAGUUAAUAGAAUUCCUUACCUAAAUUUUUGUGUUUUGCGGACUGUAAAACAGAGUCAAACUUCCUCGAUUCGGGAUUCAAAAUAAAUCGGUGACUUGGGACACCAUAAAUUAUCCCAAAUGGCGACUCUGAAUUUGAAUAAAUAAUCCAUUUCGGUUUUGUCACUUUAAUUGGGAAAACUCCUUUAUAUCUCCCUUCGGGUAAAAAAGAGGUGUUACAGCUCUGGCGACUCUGUUGGGGAUAAGAACCCAGAAUCUCUGGUUUAGGGUUCAAAAUUCGAGCUUAGAAUAGCUGUUAUAGUUGGCUUUUAUUUAUUAUCUGAUUUUUACGUGUUUGAGCUUAAUGUGCUAAAUGUCUCUUUUUACCGCUUUGAUAUUGUUUGAACUGUAACACCCCAUAAAUUUGAAUCAGUUGUGGAUGCAUUAAAUGAGUAUUAAUGUGAUGAUUAUCAAUUGGUUAUGAUAAUAAGUGUACGAGGCAUAUCAUAAGUGAUUUGGGGUCUAAGAAAAGACCUAAGUCUAAGCCAAGUUGGAAAUUACAUGAUAGACAAAAAUUCUAAAUGAGCACGCACAAGACUAUACUUUAGACGAGCAUAUCUACAUUUAUAUAAAGUUUUAUGUGAUUAACAACCUAUCAAAUGAAAUAUCCUUGACUCUAGUUUCUAACGCUUUAAACUGUUCGUCAUUUGGACACUCAUACCAUAAAUUAUGACAAAAUUACCAAAAUUAGCGCAGAAUUUUACACUACCGCGCUGCCCCAUGCGGCGCGGUUGUGCAAAUUAACAGACCACCUCCAAAUUUCGUUUCUAAACACAUUUUUCAUUACCAAGCCGCCCCAUGCACCGCGGAUAUGCAAAUCUUCGUUUUUUUGUCAACCCGACCCUAUUUGAUAUAAAACCUUCGGGGGUUAUUUUCUCCACAUCAUUUGGACGAAUUUUAGGGUUUUCCUCCACCCUCUCAAGACCUCCAACCCCUCCCAUCUUCAAGGUAGAAAAUACCCAUUAUCUUGGUGUGAAUUCCAUCAUUUAUAAACUAGUAUUGAUGAAAUCUACACAUAAAAUACUUAGGUCUUCAAGGGAUUUUUUCAAGAACUCAAAGGAGGGUUUUGCAAAAUUUAUUCAAAAAAGGUAAUCCUACACCCUUAGACUUACAUGUAUGGAUUUAUUAAGGGAAUAAGAGUAUGAAUAAGUAUUGGAACUCUUGGUACCCAAUUUUAUUACACAACUAUUAUAGAGAUUGAAAGAUGUUUAUUUAAUAGAACUUUGUUGGUUGGGUGUGGAUGGAUGGUCAUAUAUGUGAUUUUGGAAGUUAUAAAUUGGUUAAUCAUGAUGGCGGGAUAAAUUAUUGAUGAAUGGUGGUAGUUAGAUGAACUAAUUAUAUGGUGAUGAGAUGUAUAGAUUUAUGUCUACAAGGUGUUUGAUAAUAUACCUAAAUGGCUUAAGUUAUGAAAUUUGUCACUAAUAUUGGGUUCCAUUGGAUGUUGCUAUUGUAGAUUGAAGGUUCUUAGUAUUGUGGAUCAUUGUAGUACCACUAAGGGGCGAAAUUGAGGUAUGUGAGACUAACUCUCUAUGUUUGGGAAUGUUAAUGAUUCUCCCUACACUACAUUUCUUUUAUGACAUUACUAAUUGCCUCAUAAAUAUAGUAAAGCCUAGUACCUUGAAUAAUUAUAGAACUUCUAUUCUCUAGCUUCAUAACUCGCUCAUGACUUUCAUUCUGAACAUUGUGAGCUCAGUGCGUAUUCAAUAUAGACUUGGGUUUGAUGCCCUUGAGUCUUAGUAUAGAUUACUCAGUAUGUCAUAUACAGUUGAAAUUUUAGUAUUCAUAAUCAGUUCAAGAAUUCACGUCUCAGUCUAUUCCCAUUCAGUAUGUCAGUAUUAUGUAACCCAGUAUGAUCCAGUAUUCCAGUAUCAUGUAACUCAAUGUGAUUCAGUAUUUCACUAUCAUGUAUUGCAGUAUGAUUCUCAGUUUCUGUAUUUUAAAUUCCUGAAUGUUGAACACCUGUAUUUGGGCCUGAGGCCGUAGUUUAUAUGCUUUAUGCAUACUUGGGCCUGAGGCCAUAGUUUAUGCUUUAUGCAUGUUUUGGGCCUGAGGCCGUAGUUUAUGCUUUAAUGCAUUUUUGGGCCUGAGGCCGUAGUUAUGUAUACAUAUACUUGGGCCUGAGGCCGUAGCUUGUGCACAUAUAUAUAUUGGGCCCGAGGCCGUAGCUAUUCAGAUAAACAGGUUGUUCAUUAUUCAGAAGAGGGAGUAUUCAUAUCCUUACUUCCUUUGUUCAGUUUCUGUUAUCAGUUAUCAUUUCAGUUACCAGCUAUCAUUUCAGUUAUCAGUUAUUAUCUCAGCUAUCAGUUAUCAGCUAUUAGUUAUCAUUUUAGUUUCAGUUUCAAUAGUUAUUAUUUCAGUUAUCAAUUAUCAAUUCUCAGUUAUCAGCUCAAUUUUAGUUUCAACAUUUAUAAUUCUUUCUUUCAGUUGCUUUACAUACCAAUGCAAUUCAAAUGUACUGAUGUCUCUUUUGCUCGGGGCCUACAUCUCACAAUGCAGGCAAUGAUUUACGGGUUGAUGAUUCAGAGCGCUAGGAUUAUCGUACCAGCUAUUUGGUGAUCCCCAGUUCUUUCGGGGCAUUAUCAUUACUUUAUAGUCUUUCAGCAUUUACAGAUAGUCAGUAUUUUCAGUACUUCAUUAGAUGCUUCAUAGACUAGAGUAACAGCUAGAGAGAGUCGCAGGCUUUUUAUAUUAAGCUAUUUUAUCAACAAACAUGUUUCAGAACUGUAUUAGUAUUUCCGUACUUUGAUUUUUAUCAUUCAGACUUUCAG